rnacentral:misc_RNA from 1 species
UACGUAGGGUGCAAGCGUUAUCCGGAGUUAUUGGGCGUAAAGCGUUACGUCGGCGGAUCAGUAAGUGAUAUGUCUAAGCCUGGGGCUUAACCCCAGAAAGGCCUGUCAUACUGCUGAUCUUGAGGAUGUUAGAGGGAACUGGAACUCUCGGUGGAGGGGUGAAAUCCGUAGAUAUCGAGAGGAACGCCAAGGGUGAAGACAGGUUCCUGGGGCAUUCCUGACGCUCAUGUACGACAGCUUGGGUAGCAAAGCGG